rnacentral:rRNA from 1 species
UAGGGAAUCUUCGGCAAUGGACGAAAGUCUGACCGAGCAACGCCGCGUGAGUGAAGAAGGUUUUCGGAUCGUAAAACUCUGUUGUUAGAGAAGAACAAGGACGUUAGUAACUGAACGUCCCCUGACGGUAUCUAACCAGAAAGCCACGGCUAACUACGUGCCAGCAGCCGCGGUAAUACGUAGGUGGCAAGCGUUGUCCGGAUUUAUUGGGCGUAAAGCGAGCGCAGGCGGUUUCUUAAGUCUGAUGUGAAAGCCCCCGGCUCAACCGGGGAGGGUCAUUGGAAACUGGGUGACUUGAGUGCAGAAGAGGAGAAUGGAAUUCCAAGUGUAGCGGUGAAAUGCGUAGAUAUAUGGAGGAACACCAGUGGCGAAGGCAGCUCGCUGGUCAGUAACUGACGCUGAGGCACGAAAGCGUGGGAAACAAACAGG